rnacentral:rRNA from 1 species
GUGCCAGCCGCCGCGGUAAUACGUAGGGUGCAAGCGUUGUCCGGAAUUAUUGGGCGUAAAGAGCUCGUAGGCGGUCUGUCGCGUCGGCUGUGAAAACCCGGGGCUCAACCCCGGGCCUGCAGUCGAUACGGGCAGACUAGAGUGUGGUAGGGGAGACUGGAAUUCCUGGUGUAGCGGUGAAAUGCGCAGAUAUCAGGAGGAACACCGGUGGCGAAGGCGGGUCUCUGGGCCAUAACUGACGCUGAGGAGCGAAAGCGUGGGGAGCGAACAGGAUUAGAAACCCUCGUAGUCC